rnacentral:lncRNA from 1 species
GGGCACCGAUGAUAUCUAUCCACUUGAUUGGAUCGUUAAACCCAAGCUCGAACCCAAGUCUAAGUCUAUCUCAACAUAAUCAUGCCUUCGAAUUAAUGAUACAUAUACAGUUGCAAGAACCACUAAACACAUGCUCCAAGCCCUAUUCUACCCUAGCUCAUUUCAAAUUGGAUGGAGAUGAAAGUGGCUCGACCAUGAUGUCGGUCAAGCUCGAUGUCGA